ACUGCAGCAACGUGUUCCGGGGCUAUGCGGUGUCAUGGAGGAUAUCCGAGAGGCCUUCAACGAGCCGUAUGUGCACCGGGAGCGAGCAGAGCACCACUGGAAGAUCCCAUACCCACGGCCUGGAUUGCAACAGCUGUAUGUUGGUUCUAAGCUGGGGUGACCCAGGUGAGGGUCUAGCAGUGUGACCUCUACGGGCCAACAUGUGCAGACUGCUGCCUGGCAUGAGAGGCCGAGUGUGCCUGGGACAGCCUCACCUGCUCUAGCUACUACCCCACCAGCCUCUUCUUGCAAAGAGCUGUUCUGAUGAGGACAUUGACAUUGACAUGGCAAUCAACACCACACCGAUAUCAUCUGACGCUGGCAAAUGGUCCUGGAUCCCUGGAGGAGGCAGUGCAGUAUUUCUGUAUCACGAUAAUAAAAAAUGGUGGUUAUUUACAGCAGCACGAUAGCAGUCUAAUUUCAACAAGUAAAACUUAU